rnacentral:rRNA from 1 species
CUUUUCCGUUUUAAUCCCCCGGAGGUUACUGCUAUCGGUGUUCGACUAAGCCAUGCGAGUCAAAUGUUCUUCGUGAACAUGGCGGACUGCUCAGUAACACGUGGAUACUGUUCUUUAGGUUCGGCAUAACUCCGGGAAACUGGGAGAUAAUUCCGAAUAGGUCAAAUAUGCUGGAAUGCUUUUUGGCCAAAAGACUCGGUUGCCCUAAGGAUGGAUCUGCGGUCUAUCAGGUUGUAGUGGGUGUAACGUACCUACUAGCCUACGACGGAUAUGGGUUGUGAGAGCAAGACCCAGAGAUGGAUUCUGAGACAUGAAUCCAGGCCCUACGGGGCGCAACAGGCGCGAAAAACUUUACAAUGCGGGAAACCGCGAUAAGGGGGACACCGAGUGCCAGCAUUUAUGUUGGCUGUCCACAUGUGUAAACGGCAUUGUGGUAAGCAAGGGCCGGGCAAAACCGGUGCCAGCCGCCGGGUAACACCGGCGGCCGAGUGGAAAUCACUUUUAUGGGUCUAAAAGGGUCCGUAGCCCGGUUUGGAUCAAGUUCCUUCGGGAAAAUCUGGACAGCUCAAACUGGUUAAGGCUUCUGGGGGAAAUACUGUCAGAACUUGGGGAACCGGGGAAGAGGGUUAAGAAGGUACUAACAGGGGGUUAGGAAGUUGAAAAUCUUUGUUAAUCCCCUGUGGGGAACCACCAAGUGGCUGAAAGCGUUCUUAACCAAGAAACGGGGUCCGAACGGUUGAAGGACGAAAAGCUGGGGGCACGAAACCCGGAUAAAUUACCCCGGGUAAUUCCCCAGCCCGUAAAACCAUGUUCGCUAAGUUGUCAGGGCCGGUGCGAACCGCUUUCUGGUGCCCGUAAGGGAAACCCCUGAAACCGAAACCACCUGGGAAAGUACGGCCCGCAAGGCCUUGAAAACUUAAAGGAAAUUGGCGGGGGGAGCACUAACAACGGGGAGGCCUGGCGGUUUUAAAUUGGGAUUUCAACGCCGGAAA